rnacentral:lncRNA from 13 species
UAGAAGACUUCAGAGGCAGAAUCAAACUUGGGUAUUCUGAUUCCAGGUUCAGCACUCCUGUUGAAUUCGACUGGAUUCUGGAAAGAUAUUUGGACUCACUAUCAUAACAGAAGAGUGAUAAUAAAUAUAAAUACCUGAACCUGAAUUUCAACUUUGCUAUUCUUUAUGGAUGUGAUUUUUGAAGGAUUCAGCUGUAAAGCCAUCAGGUCCUGGGCUUUUGUCUGAUGGGAAGCUUUUUAUUACUGAUCCAAUCUCCUUGUUAUGGUCUGUCCAGCUUUUCCAUUUCUUCAUGAUUCAGUCUUGGGAUCUGCAUUCACUUUUUCAAUCAGAUGAACAUAGCAGAUAA